rnacentral:rRNA from 1 species
GACGAACGCUGGCGGCGUGCCUAAUACAUGCAAGUAGAACGCACAGUUUAUACCGUAGCUUGCUACACCAUAGACUGUGAGUUGCGAACGGGUGAGUAACGCGUAGGUAACCUGCCUGGUAGCGGGGGAUAACUAUUGGAAACGAUAGCUAAUACCGCAUAAUAUUAAUUAUUGCAUGAUAAUUAAUUGAAAGGUCCAAUUGCACCACUACCAGAUGGACCUGCGUUGUAUUAGCUAGUAGGUGAGGUAACGGCUCACCUAGGCGACGAUACAUAGCCGACCUGAGAGGGUGAUCGGCCACACUGGGACUGAGACACGGCCCAGACUCCUACGGGAGGCAGCAGUAGGGAAUCUUCGGCAAUGGACGAAAGUCUGACCGAGCAACGCCGCGUGAGUGAAGAAGGUUUUCGGAUCGUAAAGCUCUGUUGUAAGAGAAGAACGGGUGUGAGAGUGGAAAGUUCACACUGUGACGGUAUCUUACCAGAAAGGGACGGCUAACUACGUG